rnacentral:rRNA from 1 species
GACGUAGGGGGCCAGCGUUGUUCGGAAUUACUGGGUGUAAAGGGUUCGUAGGCGGUGCGGCAAGUCGGGAGUGAAAUCUCUGGGCUUAACCCAGAGGCUGCUUCCGAAACUGCUGUGCUUGAGUGUGGGAGAGGCGCGUGGAAUUGCAGGUGUAGCGGUGAAAUGCGUAGAUAUCUGCAGGAACACCCGUGGCGAAAGCGGCGCGCUGGACCACUACUGACGCUGAGGAGCGAAAGCGUGGGUAGCAAACAGG